CUCUAUGCGUCUUGGCCGCGACACCGCGAGACACCUGCAGCGAGACGCGAACCUGAGACGCCUCCGGCGGUAACGGGGAGCAGCAGCAGCAGCAGCGGCGUCGUCAAUUCAGGAGGAGGAGAGUGAGGGUGGUGCUCCACUGACCCUCGGCGACCUGCAUGAAGAGGGAGAGGCGCGGGCCCUCGCGCACGGCACCGUAGAGCUGCACGAGGCGCAGUGAGUCGAGCCGGCUCCAGAUGCUCAACUCGUUCUCCGAGAACUUGUCCACGCUCAGCUGCCACCACGCCGCGUGAACAAAGAUAAUGAAUUGCACACACGCACACAUGCUUUCCGCUCAGCUGUACAGACUCCACCUGUGUGGAGCUCUUGUCGACGCGAAGACCACGAUCCACAACAUCGUCAUCGACAACAACACACUGGGAGCAGUGGUGCACGCCUGUGAUCGCACGUAGGAGGCAAAGGUCGGUGGUUCACGCAGAGAUUUGGGGAAACGCCCAAACCCACUGUGCUGCUGUGGCCGGGAGGUGGCAGUACAGCGUGUGAGUUUGUGAAGCAAUCUGUCUAGACCACCGAGUGUUACCUCCUUGUAUGCACGGUGGGUUUUCUCCGGACACUCCUUUCCUUGCACACUAUGCUAAGUACUGAUUAAUUUCACUGGCCAUACAUUCCAAUGCAGGACCAUCUUAAACACAAGGCUCAGUGAGGCUCAGUGAGGCUUUCUUCGUAUCAAUCCACUGCUGGAUUGACAAUCCACGCUAUUCACAUUGUUAUUUGACCAUACUUCACCAUGCUGGUCAGUGCGAGUUGGUGAAGGGGGGACACAAAUAUAUAGGAGCAAAGAAGUACACUACAACAGUGGAUUUUACUGAACUUCUGCUACCCCACACACAACAUAGCUCCGCUACCUAAAACACCUGUCAUGGGUCGUGGUUGCCCAAACAAACACUAUUCAGGCUCAACUUUGCUUGGCUUCUGAGAUGUGACGAGAUUGGCCGCAGUCCGGGUGAUUUUGUCACUAGGGAAAAUAAAGACCUUGCUAAUUCA